UAAUUUUUAUAAUGUAAAAACUAAAUAAAUUCAUACGUACUAUAAUACAAAUAACCGGGAUAUGAAAUUUACUGUACAGUGACUCGUGGGCCCACAAGGAACAAAAGUGCACAAAGGUAGUAAACCUACGGUUUUUGGAGUAGUAAAGCCAACUAUAAUCCCUGAUGAUAUCUGCUAUCCACAGGCUACCUCGGGCCUGAAAUGGUUGAAAAUGAGGGUGGUGAGAUUAUAAAAUCUCAGUGAGUAAACAGAUACCAUCUAAACCAGCUAAAGUCGAGUAAAUAGAGAUAGAUAAAACAAUUUAACAUACUAAAAUUCAUCACCUUUCAACUUGUUUCAACCAAAUAAAAUUAAUUCAUAUAAUUCGAGUAAUUAACAUGGCUUAUGAAUUUCUUAAAACUUGGCUCAUGCAAAAAAUUAUUCUCAUACUCAGUUAUCAGGGAUACCUUGGCCGAGGGCUAUCCCAAACCGAGUCCACCAAGGCUAUUAAAAAGUUAUAUACUCAUAAAUCAUGUUUUUAUUUAGAAAACACAGUCAUUCCUUGGCGUUGGCUGAGUUCCCCCUCACGUGGUGGUUUAGCGUGAAGUGAACUCUAAGGUCAUACCUCGAGAGUUACCCUACUCGCCUCUCCAAUCGAGGUAAAAUAUAUCGGGAUUUCGUGUCUCUCUAAUAAGCUGGUCCACAGAAAACCCGCCCCCUACAGCAGGUUAAAUCCACCAUACAACACAAUUUUGACAACAUGACAUGACUAAUAUAAUACUAUCCAGCCUAUAAAUGUAAAACAGAACAAUUCAUACAGUUCACCAAAAACACAACCCAGCUAGUCAUGCCAACACAUUAACAUAAGCCAUCAAUUCAAAUCAUAAAUUUACAAUACAUUAAGAGUCUCCAAUUACUCUAUUUUCAAAAUCAUCAUUCAAUUUCUAGACAAUUUAUAAAAUCUUUUCAUUUAAACACAUUUUGUUUAUAAACAUAAAAGUUUACCAUUUAAACCCAUUUUCCAUAAAAUCAUAAAAUCGGAUAAAAACCACUUUAGAUAAUUAAGACGAUAGUAAGGUUACUCACUUCACAAUAGCGGGAUUUCUACGUCGCUAUUUAUUCGUACUCGUAUAAUUAUUCCUAUUUGUCAGUCACCUACGUCGUUCGGCAUGCUCCCACAACAAACUUUCCUAGCAACAAUUUAAAUUCAAUAUACUUAGUGCAUCAAUUCCACUUCUCUCUCUCAUUCUAUCAUAAAUCUACAUUAUUUCUCCUCAUUUCUUCCAAUAUGUUACCAUUCAACUUAACACUCUCAACCAAAUUAUACAUCUAAAUUCCUCCAACAUCAAUAAUUCUUCAUAACAAAUCAUUUAAAAUUUCUUAACUUUAUUCGAGCACUAUUUGAAAAUUUAACAUUUUCUUCUUUACUUUAGUCCUAUGACACCUCCUAAUAAAAUAUUUAAAUAUUGUAUUAAAGUGAUUUAAAUUUAAUUUGUAUCACCAAUUAACCAAUUGUAUAAUUAAAUAAAGUGGGCUAGCCUCCAUAUAGUCCAAUUUCACAAUAAGCCAUGGAGUAGAGUAAAGAAAUUUUACCCAAUUAGGCUAGGUUGGUCAAAGUUUGCACCUUCCUUUUCUUUUGGACUUUUCUUCCUUUAUGGCUAUUGGGCCAUGCCCAUUUUUCUUUAUUGUUGGGCCAUGCCCAUUUUCCUUUCUUGUUACUUUCUUUUCUUUUCUUUUCUUUUCUUUUCUUUUAUUUCUUCCUUUCCUUCACCGUCUAGCAGCCAUUGAUUAUCUUUCUUUUUCUUUUCUCACAUGCACAAACCGUCCCAAUUUCUUCCUCUCUCUCUCCUUCUCACCACCGGCCACACUUUCUAGCUUUUCAACCUUCAAUUUUCAGCAGCUAAAGCUGCUCAUAUUGGCUUCAAAAUCAGCAGCUAAGCUGCUCUAUUUCUCCUCAAAAAAUCAGCAACUAAGCUACUCUUUUUCCUCUAAAAAUUAGCAGCCAAAACAACAACAAUUAACCACCAAAACCACACCUUACAACCUUCAAAAUCAGCUACAAAAAUCUACACUUUUCAGCCUCCAAAACCAGCAGCAAAGCUACACUUUCCAGCCCCCAAAAUCAGCAAAAAAAUAGCUCCUUUUCCUCUCUAAAUGGUGGCAAAAUCGGCCCCUCAACUCAGCUCUCUCCCUCCUCUCACACUCGGCUUUCUCUUCUUUUUGUUUUUCUUUCUCUCGGCUACUUCUUUCUUCUUUCUUUCCUUUGUUCUUUUGUUUCUCUUUUACUUUCCCUCACAACCGAC
rnacentral:lncRNA from 1 species